UCAAAUGACUCAUUAACAGAAAACCACGUGAGAUACCAACACAUCACAAGAGCUUCUUAACAACGACGAACCAUUAAUACCUACCCUGCUUCUUCAUCCCCAGCAACUCCACAACCUUGGCUCAGUCCUGGCUCAAAGGGAAGAAUGCAAAGAAGGAUCAU
rnacentral:lncRNA from 1 species